GAUGAACGCUGGCGGCGUGCCUAAUACAUGCAAGUCGAGCGAACAGACGAGGAGCUUGCUCCUCUGACGUUAGCGGCGGACGGGUGAGUAACACGUGGAUACCCUACCUAUAAGACUGGGAUAACUUCGGGAAACCGGAGCUAAUACCGGAUAAUAUAUUGAACCGCAUGGUUCAAUAGUGAAAGACGGUUUUGCUGUCACUUAUAGAUGGAUCCGCGCCGCAUUAGCUAGUUGGUAAGGUAACGGCUUACCAAGGCAACGAUGCGUAGCCGACCUGAGAGGGUGAUCGGCCACACUGGAACUGAGACACGGUCCAGACUCCUACGGGAGGCAGCAGUAGGGAAUCUUCCGCAAUGGGCGAAAGCCUGACGGAGCAACGCCGCGUGAGUGAUGAAGGUCUUCGGAUCGUAAAACUAUGUUAUUAGGGAAGAACAAAUGUGUAAGUAACUAUGCACGUCUUGACGGUACCUAAUCAGAAAGCCACGGCUAACUACGUG
rnacentral:rRNA from 1 species